AGAUGAAUGUGGUACCUUCAGGCGUUUGAAUUUGCUCCCAAGGAUGAACCAGACUUGUGGAGGACUACAACAAACAAAAACAUUCUGAGGUCUUGGCUGAUUUCUUUUGAUUUUCACAUGUCAAGCAAAGAGGCACUGAGUGUGAAGGUCAUCAUGCUGCUUGUUAUGGCGCACACCUGCGUGUCAUCAGACUCACCUGGACUCAUCACCUCCUUGAUUACCUGCCCAAUAUAUGUCACUCCCUUUGGUUCCUUCCCCAGGCGUUGUUUCCUAUCUGUUCGUGUUUAUUAAAUAUUCACUCUUGUACUUGGUUCCUGACUCAGUGCACACGUUACAGUUGAGCAUGAAAAACCCAGCAGUGUUGCAGUUCUUCACACACUCAAACUUGUGCGCCUGGCACCAUACCCGUUCAAGGCACUUAACUCUUGUCUUGCUCAUUCAUCCUCUGAAUGGAACACAUACACUAUGUAUCAAGGCUUAAAAUACUCCUUUAACCAUUCUUCAUCUACACCACUGGUUCCAAACUUUUUAUAGUCCCUUAC
rnacentral:lncRNA from 1 species